rnacentral:misc_RNA from 1 species
GAUGAAGAUCGCAGUGAAAUGCGAUAAGUAAUGUGAAUUGCAGAAUUCAGUGAAUCAUCGAAUCUUUGAACGCACAUUGCGCCCGCCAGUAUUCUGGCGGGCAUGCCUGUUCGAGCGUCAUUUCAACCAUCAAGCCCCAGGCUUGUGUUGGGGACCUGCGGCUGCCGCAGGCCCUGAAAACCAGUGGCGGGCUCGCUGUCACACCGGGCGUAGUAGAUUUUAUCUCGCUCAGGGCGUGCUGCGGGUUCCGGCCGUUAAAAAGCCUUUUUUACCCAAGGUUGACCUCGGAUCAGGUAGGAAGACCCGCUGAACUUAAGCAUAUCAAUAAGCGGAGGA